rnacentral:rRNA from 1 species
UGAGGAAUAUUGCGCAAUGGACGAAAGUCUGACGCAGCAACGCCGCGUGGGUGAAGAAGGCCUUCGGGUUGUAAAGCCCUUUUCUGGGGGAAGAGAGAGGACGGUACCUCAGGAAUAAGUCUCGGCUAACUACGUGCCAGCAGCCGCGGUAAAACGUAGGAGGCAAGCGUUAUCCGGAUUUAUUGGGCGUAAAGCGCAUGCAGGUGGUUCCGUAAGUCGGAUGUGAAAGCCUCUGGCUUAACUGGAGGAGGUCGUUCGAUACUGCGGAGCUGGAGGUCGGAAGAGGGAAGCGGAAUUCCCGGGUGUAGUGGUGGAAUGCGUAGAUAUCGGGAGGAACACCGAGUGGCGAAAGCGGCUUCCUGGUCCGUACCUGACGCUAAGAUGCGAAAGCGUGGGGAGCAA